rnacentral:rRNA from 1 species
GGUUCAGGAUGAACGCUGGCGGCGUGCUUAACACAUGCAAGUCGAACGGAGCUUAGAAGGAAGCUUGCUUCAUUAAGCUUAGUGGCGGACGGGUGAGUAACGCGUGAACAACCUGCCCUCGAGUGGGGAAUAACAUCGAGAAAUCGGUGCUAAUACCGCAUAAUGUCGAGAGACCGCAUGAUCUUUCGACCAAAGGAUUUAUUCGCUUGAGGAUGGGCUCGCGUCCGAUUAGCUAGUUGGUGAGGUAACGGCCCACCAAGGCUUCGAUCGGUAGCCGAACUGAGAGGUUGAUCGGCCACAUUGGGACUGAGACACGGCCCAGACUCCUACGGGAGGCAGCAGUGGGGAAUAUUGGGCAAUGGGCGAAAGCCCUGACCCAGCAACGCCGCGUGAAGGAUGAAGGUCUUCGGAUUGUAAACUUCUUUGAUUGGGGAAGAAUAAAAUGACCUACCCAAAGAACAAGCCACGGCUAACUACGUGCCAGCCGCAGC